UUUCAUGACUCCACUCUUAAAUCUGAUUUCUCUUUUCCUUUCACCCAGUUUGAUACCAUGUAAAUGUUGUGUCAUACUAUUGAUUCUCAACGGGUUUAGUGGAUAUUUUUUUGUAACGAAGUAACUUCCACCAUUUUACUAUUUUUGACAGCAGGAUGACGGUGAUCACGGGGGAGGAUGUCGCGUUUGAUGGUGGUUGUGGUUAAUUAAGGAGUUUGUGGUGACGACGCUUGCCUUUGGGCACAAAAAAAUCUAGCUGUAGAAAUGUUGCUUUUUCGUUUCUGUCACCUUCUUUUGUUGUUGUUGUUGUUGCUUAUUCUCUCUUUUUAGAUUAAUAGGUGUUUUUAAUUCGUGGGAGAGUUUGCUUCUUUUGAAUCUUCGCAGGAAUUUCCAGAUGGUCUAUUGAGAUCGAACAGCAAGACAAAGAAAAAGAAGAAAAUUAACAGAGUUUUCGCUAUGAUCGCUUUGAGAUUCAUGAAGUGUGUGACAGUUGGUGAUGGAGCUGACAGUUAAACAUGUUUGUUGAUUUCUUAAACUUGCUACACUUUUUCUAUGGUUAUCUCUCGUGAUCAUGUUUCUUUGUACAAAAUACAUUUUUCAUCUGUGGCUAUACAUCCACAAGA